rnacentral:rRNA from 1 species
CGUCUUCGGACCAAAGUGGGGGACCUUCGGGCCUCACGCCAUCAGAUGUGCCCAGAUGGGAUUAGCUAGUAGGUGGGGUAAUGGCUCACCUAGGCGACGAUCCCUAGCUGGUCUGAGAGGAUGACCAGCCACACUGGAACUGAGACACGGUCCAGACUCCUACGGGAGGCAGCAGUGGGGAAUAUUGCACAAUGGGCGCAAGCCUGAUGCAGCCAUGCCGCGUGUGUGAAGAAGGCCUUCGGGUUGUAAAGCACUUUCAGCGAGGAGGAAGGGUAGUGUGUUAAUAGCACAUUACAUUGA